AUGCCACUUCAGGGCCGUGAGCAGGGAGGGAGGGACCCCGGGGGGACAGCCAGGGACCUGCCCUCACAGAGACAGAGGCUGGUGUGGACAGCGAGCCAAGUGGCUGCACCCGGAGGGGUCGGGGAGGGGCCUGGCGGAGUGAGGAGCCAUGCCCACGAACCGGAGGGCUUCCCGGAGGACAGACAGCUGCGCGGAGAUCCUGGAGGCCCGUCUCCCGGGCCACGCCGGUUCUCCCCACGGCGUCUCCCAGUAUGUGUGGAGGAGGCAGCAAGGAGACGUCUGUGUCGCCCGCCCGCACGGGUGGCGCCACCAGCCUGCCCACAAGCCAUCUGCCUCUUUCCUCUCCCGGGGAGCAGAGACGCAGGGAGGAGGAGACGCUGGCUGGAGCCAGAGCUGGGAGCACCUGCCAGAGCCCAUCCAGUCCCCGGCCCUGCUGGCCAGUGCUCCUGCCUAUCCCAGCUCUGGCAGGUUGGGUGUGAAGGCCUGAGCAGGCUCCUGCUCCAUAACCUUUCAUGGUUCCUCCCACUGUCUGGCCUCACUGUGAGCCCUCGAGGAUACCUUCCAACAACACUGUGCUCCACUUCCCGCCGCCUCCCUGUUGACCCCUGGACCCCACAAUUUAUAAGGGAGAAGGGCCCCUUUGUCCUCCUCAUCUCCCAGACAGGGUGGGAUUUGGCAAAGCAGAGAAGGGAGCCCGGGACCUGCCUGGUGGUGCUGAUUCCUGGCUCGUGUCCCUUCUCUGCACACAUCAUGGAGGAGCCCCUGCGGUAUUGGGGCCUGGCAGUCUCUGCACAUCUCCACUGUGUGACCCAGGGAGCCUCCCCCAGGACACUUAGCCUGCUCCGUGAACGCCCUCCUCCCAGGACCACUCUGGGGCCUCCAGAUCUCGUGGGAGGCCGCACAUGGUGCCCCUGGCUGCCCCUUGGGGACCUCUACUACUGGCAAGAAAAGAGAAACUGGUAAUCGGUGCUCCCAAUGUGCAUGGCAAUGCCACUGGCUGGCCAGGACCUGCUCCCGGCGUUUGAAAGGUCCCCUGAGCUCAUCUGCUUGUUCAUUUGCACUGUCUAUGGAGAAAGCAAAUGUCAACUUGUGCUGCCCAGACCGCUGCUUGCACUCCCCUCAUUAGUGGUGUCUGAAAUCAUAGAGUUUCUCUGUGUUCUCGUUAUGUGCAAAUGACCUCCCAAAAGCACUUCCGAGGGGCAUGUAGACCCAAGACGGCCCCUUCUAGAGGGGCUUUGGUUCUUGGGACGAGGGUGCCUCUGCCUUGGGGAGGGACUUCCAAUGGAUCGAAACUGGAGGGAGGGACCCAGCGGGGGGUGCCUAGGAUCCCGAGUUUGGGAGACCCUUGUGGGCACACCUGCCUUGAAGGGCCGGGACCUAGGGGUUCCCACGCAGCUGUGAGGGGAGACAGAGGUGGCAGGUGCAGGCUGAUUCCCACCCCGGGGAAGCUCAUUGUGGAGGCACACGUAGCUCACCGUAGCCCCUGCUGCUCAGCUACGCUGGAUAUGCCCAGUCUGCGCAGGGCACUUCUCGCUCUCCACUUAAAAGGAUGCGUUUGGCAAACCUCAGGAUGUCGUUAAAAUUUCAUGGGCUCCCCCUAAGCGGAGGACCAUCGGCCGUAACCUCGAUCGAGUCAGAUCUGUGCCUGGUCCAGGUGUGUCUCCUGUUGGCGAGCACAUCUCUCCUCGAUGUCACAGAAAUGAGACACCAUCCCGGAGCUGGCAGGACAGGUUGGCCGGGCCCUGACUUGCUGGCGGGGACACUGUCAGAAUGAAUUCAUUUCCAAAUAAAGCAUUGUUAACACUGCUAUUAAAUGCCUGA
rnacentral:lncRNA from 12 species